rnacentral:rRNA from 1 species
CCUACGGGGGGCAGCAGUGAGGAAUAUUGGUCAAUGGGCGCGAGCCUGAACCAGCCAAGUAGCGUGAAGGAUGACUGCCCUACGGGUUGUAAACUUCUUUUAUAAAGGAAUAAAGUGAGGCAGGUGUGCCUUUUUGUAUGUACUUUAUGAAUAAGGAUCGGCUAACGCCGUGCCAGCAGCCGCGGGAAUACAGAGGUUCCGAGCGUUAUCCGGAUUUAUUGGGGUUAAAGGGAGCGUAGAUGGGUUGUUAAGUCAGUUGUGAAAGUUUGUGGCUCAACCGUAAAAUUGCAAUUGAUACUGGCAGGCUUGAGUACAGUUGAGGUAGGCGGAAUUCGUGGUGUAGCGGGGAAAUGCUUAGAUAUCACGAAGAACACCGAUUGCGAAGGCAGCUUACUAAACUGCCACUGACAUUGAUGCUCGAAAGUGUGGGUAUCAAACAGGAUUAGAUACCCCGGUAGUC